rnacentral:rRNA from 1 species
UAUGAAGGGGGCUAGCGUUGCUCGGAAUCACUGGGCGUAAAGCGCACGUAGGCGGAUUGUUAAGUCAGGGGUGAAAUCCUGGAGCUCAACUCCAGAACUGCCUUUGAUACUGGCGAUCUCGAGUCCGGGAGAGGUGAGUGGAACUGCGAGUGUAGAGGUGAAAUUCGUAGAUAUUCGCAAGAACACCAGUGGCGAAGGCGGCUCACUGGCCCGGUACUGACGCUGAGGAGCGAAAGCGUGGGGAGCGAACAGG